AAGCUGGUGAAUUCUUGAUUGUUGCCUCGACGAAGUCGACGAACUGUCACUCCGAUUUUGAAUUCCAUACUGUUCAGUCUCAAAUUUUAAACUCUCUGUUUGAAAAUUGAAAUCGCGCCGCGAAUAACAACUUAUAUUGAAAAUCCGUCGCAGGAUGAGGAUGGCCAGUGAAGACGAACUGAUCGACACCCUUUUGAUGCCCAAAGGCUUUUUGUUCCCGGCUCGAUUUGCGACUCUCCUUCGAGUUGGACGAUGAAUUCGCGGCGUUCUUCGACGUCGUUUUGGCCACCCUCCACGUUCGGGUUCUUCUUCUGAUCCUCUUCCUCCACGACCCGACCGUCCAAAGGCUCAACUUUGACACCAUCCUCUAAAAUUCAACAUGCGUCGCAAGAUCAGGAAGGCCAGUGAAGAGACGACUUGAUCGACACCUUGCUCAUGUCCAAGGCAUUUGUUCCAUCCUCGAUUUGCGACACAUUCGAGUUGGACGACGAAUUCGCGGCGUUCUUCGACUUUGAUGCUGUCGCGCAAAUCCAGCUCGCGACGGCCCAGUUUUCCGGGAUGGCUGGACCGCUAAUUUUCAUCUACUUGACCACCAACGGCUGGCCCGUCACCAGGCAGAUGAUCUAAAAUUCAACAUGCGUCGCAAGAUGAGGCAGGCCAGCGAAGACGACAUGAUCGACACCUUGUUCAUGCCCAAGGCUUUUGUUCCUUCCUCGAUUUGCGACUCAUUCGAGUUAGACGACGAGUUCGCGGCGUUUGACGUCGUUUUGGCCACCCUCCAUGUUCGGGUCCUUCUAUGAUCCUCUUCCUCCACGACCCAACCGUGCAAAGGCUCAACUUUGACACCGACCAUUCAUUACAAUCGCAUCCUUGCUUGAGUCAAGGACUUGACACGCAAGGCCAGCAGCGUCGAGUUGCUGGAAUUUGAAGAGAACUGCGGCCCUCCCGAGGUCCACGAGAACUUCGAUGCCGUCGCGCAAAUCCAGCCCGCGACGGCUCAGUUUUCCGGGAUGGCUGGACCACUCAUCUUCAUCUACUUGGCCUCCAACGGCUGACCCGUCACCAGGCAGAUGAACAUAAGCAGGAGAUGCUGGUCUGCGCCGGUCAACUCUACGCCCAAGGCAGGACAACGCUGGCUGUUGAGACCCAGGAGACCGUCGAACACCUGCGCCGAGUGUCAACUGCUUGUCAUCAUGCCAUCAACGCCAUCAAUGCCAGGUUUGACGUGAAAACGUUGGUCGAGCAUGAGGGAGACCUGCUGGCCGCGACGCGGAUGCGCAUCGAUGUCAGGGUCGCUUCUUUGGAGGAGGAGUUGAAGGAAACUGCUGGCUGAAGAGAAGGCCUGCCAGAAGCGAUGUCGUGAAGUGGACCCGACAUGCAACGACGAUCAGACGCCGCCAUCGAAGAAGUCCAAAGCUGGAUGGACAUCAAGGUGGAUCCCUUUCUGGUCUUGAAUUGCCUCAUCACUGCUAGCGCCGUUCAUGGUCUUCUCGUUCUUAUCCGAAAUAAACAAACACCAUGAUCCAAAAGCACGUAAACUAUAAUAACAAUGUAGUUUUUAUUCAUUCUUCUACCAAACAAACGGCACAAUUAACUGUGCAUGAUUUUAUAUUGUUUAAAAUUCAUUUUAAAACUCCUCUUUGCUGCAUUCAAUAAUUCUUACUUGGAAAAAUUUUGAUAAAAAUUAUAAAAAUAAUCUUUAUUUUGAAAGCAAAGUUGGUUCAAUGUGAAAGAAUUCUUAAUUGAUUUGAAAAUAUAAAAUCUGUUUUGUAAAAGUAUUCAUGUCGACCACUUUUUGAAUUUUGAUUUAUUUUUUGAACACUCGUUUGGCUCGGAGCUCUCUAAUUGUUCGACUCUUGCAAAAGCACGCAAAGUGGCCGCGCGCUCUCGUAAUUAAUUCUGAAUCUCGUACGUGUCUGAUGGGACGUCCUGCUCUUCGGGCCGAGGUCUGUCCUUCUUUGGCAGGGACUGCAACUGGCCGACACCACCCUGGCCAGAACAGCGGCUGAAUUUUGGCACCGAAGUUUCUACUCUGUUUUUAUCCAUUAUUGUUUUGUGCAAAAAAACCAUGUGAAUUCUAUGGCUAUUUCAAAUUAUACAAAUUCCUUUCAACUGCGAAAAGAAAUGUCGGUUUGAAAUGGCGACGAUUUAAAAAAUUCGGUUUCCAAGAAUUCUCAAAAAAAAUUUUUUAAAUAAUUCCUUAGCGAUUUUUUUUUUCAUUGUAAAAUAUUAUUUUACCUUCGGCAUUUCAUUUAUUGUGAA